UGGGGAAUUUUGGACAAUGGGCGCAAGCCUGAUCCAGCCAUGCCGCGUGCGGGAAGAAGGCCUUCGGGUUGUAAACCGCUUUUGUCAGGGAAGAAAUCUUCUGAGUUAAUACCUCGGGAGGAUGACGGUACCUGAAGAAUAAGCACCGGCUAACUACGUGCCAGCAGCCGCGGUAAUACGUAGGGUGCAAGCGUUAAUCGGAAUUACUGGGCGUAAAGCGUGCGCAGGCGGUUUUGUAAGACAGAGGUGAAAUCCCCGGGCUCAACCUGGGAACUGCCUUUGUGACUGCAAGGCUUGAGUGCGGCAGAGGGGGAUGGAAUUCCGCGUGUAGCAGUGAAAUGCGUAGAUAUGCGGAGGAACACCGAUGGCGAAGGCAAUCCCCUGGGCCUGCACUGACGCUCAUGCACGAAAGCGUGGGGAGCAAACAGGAUUAGAUAGCCCUGGUAGUCCACGCCCUAAAACGAUGUCAACUGGUUGUUGGGAAGGUUCCUUCUCAGUAACGUAGCUAACGCGUGAAGUUGACCGCCUGGGGAGUACGGCCGCAAGGUUGAAACUCAAAUGAAUUGACGGGGUCAUAGC
rnacentral:rRNA from 1 species